rnacentral:lncRNA from 1 species
UGGUGUUUCUUCCAGAUCAGCCUCCUUUUCAUUCCAACUCUACGUGCCCAGAGCUUCAAAUACAGCCCUCCCAUCACAGUCAGACUCUCACAAAACUUCAAUCAGCUGCUUCUCCUCCUGGAAGAGAACCUGGAUGGGAGGAAGCUGGAAGGUGGGAAAGAAGAGGUGUGGAGUCAGCUGCAUCUGGCCUGGAUUCCAGUUCUGCUGUCUAUUUGCUGUGUGGUCCCAUGCAGGGAUUUGACUUCUCUGGGCUCAGCCUCAUCUGUAAUUUGGACCCCGUGGUGAGAGAGUAGUGAUUGCAGAUGGGGCAUUCACGGCCUCUCCCCACUGUUCUCGAGCUCAUUCUGAGGACUAAUGCCACGCAUGCGGCUGACCCAGCUUUUCAGACACGUGACCAAGGUUUUGGAGUACCUACGAGGCUCGAUCUAGCGUCUUCCCUGAACUCAAGGCACCCGAGAUGAAAGGCAGAGAAACAGCAGAAACAAAAGCUCCGGUCUUGAGCUUUGCCGCCUUCCCAUCCCCCUCACCCCUCACCCCUCACCAGCACUUCCUCGAGUCCUGAAAGUCUGCUUCGGUCU